rnacentral:rRNA from 1 species
CAGUAACACAUGAUCAACUUACCCUAUAGAGAAAAAUAACCUCGGGAAACUGAGGAUAAUGUUUCAUAGUNGAAUAGGCUUGGAAAAGUUUUUCAAUAAAAGGGAUAAAAAAAAUGGUUUUUAUCUGCUAUAGGAUAGGAUCGUGGACGAUUAUGGUUGUUGGUGAGGUAACGGCUCACCAAGCCGAUAAUCGAUAGGGGCCGUGAGAGCGGGAGCCCCGAGAUGGGUACUGAGACAACGACCCAGGCCUUACGAGGCGCAGCAGGCGCGGAACCUCCGCAAUACACGAAAGUGUGACGGGGUUACCCAAAGUGUUCAACUCUGAACUGUGGUAGGUGAGUAAUGUCCCCUACUAGAAAGGAGAGGGCAAGGCUGGUGCCAGCCGCCGCGGUAAAACCAGCUCUUCAAGUGGUCGGGAUAAUUAUUGGGCUUAAAGUGUCCGUAGCCGGUUUAGUAAGUUCCUGGUAAAAUCGGGUAGCUUAACUAUCCAUAUGCUAGGAAUACUGCUAUACUAGAGGGCGGGAGAGGUCUGAGGUACUACAGGGGUAGGGGUGAAAUCUUAUAAUCCUUGUAGGACCACCAGUGGCGAAGGCGUCAGACUGGAACGCGCCUGACGGUGAGGGACGAAAGCCAGGGGAGCGAACCGGAUUAGAUACCCGGGUAGUCCUGGCCGUAAACGAUGCAUACUAGGUGAUGGUACGGCCAUGAGCCGUAUCAGUGCCGUAGGGAAACCGUUAAGUGUGCCGCCUGGGAAGUACGGUCGCAAGGCUAAAACUUAA